rnacentral:rRNA from 2 species
GUAUCAGAAGUGCGAAUGCUGACGUGAGUAACGACAAAACGGGUGAAAAACCCGUUCGCCGAAAGACCAAGGGUUCCAGUCCAACGUUAAUCGGGGCUGGGUGAGUCGACCCCUAAGGCGAGGCCGAAAGGCGUAGUCGAUGGGAAAAUGGUUAAUAUUCCAUUACUUCUGUGUAAUGCGAUGAGAGGACGGAGAAGGCUAAAUCAGCCUGGCGUUGGUUGUCCAGGUGAAAGGAUGUAGGCAUGUAUCUUAGGCAAAUCCGGGGUACUCUAUGCUGAGAUCUGAUAGCAAGCUGUACUUGUACAGCGAAGUGGUUGAUGCCAUGCUUCCAGGAAAAGUCUCUAAGCUUCAGUUACACAGGAAUCGUACCCGAAACCGACACAGGUGGUCAGGUCGAGUAGACCAAGGCGCUUGAGAGAACUCUGCUGAAGGAACUAGGCAAAAUGGUACCGUAACUUCGGGAGAAGGUACGCUGUUGUUGGUGAUGGAACUCGCUUCCUGAGCUGACGACAGCCGCAGAAACCAGGCCGCUGCAACUGUUUAUUAAAAACAUAGCACUCUGCAAACACGAAAGUGGACGUAUAGGGUGUGAUGCCUGCCCGGUGCUGGAAGGUUAAUUGAUGGGGUUAGCGUAAGCGAAGCUCUUGAUCGAAGCCCCAGUAAACGGCGGCCGUAACUAUAACGGUCCUAAGGUAGCGAAAUUCCUUGUCGGGUAAGUUCCGACCUGCACGAAUGGCAUAAUGAUGGCGGCGCUGUCUCCAGCAGAGGCUCAGUGAAAUCGAAAUCGCUGUGAAGAUGCAGUGUACCCGCGGCUAGACGGAAAGACCCCGUGAACCUUUACUGCAGCUUGACACUGAACUUUGACCUUACUUGUGUAGGAUAGGUGGGAGGCUUUGAAGCUGGAACGCUAGUUCCAGUGGAGCCGUCCUUGAAAUACCACCCUGGUAAUGUUGAGGUUCUAACUCUGUCCCGUGAUCCGGGACGAGGACCGUGUCUGGUGGGUAGUUUGACUGGGGCGGUCUCCUCCUAAAGAGUAACGGAGGAGUACGAAGGUGCGCUCAGCGUGGUCGGAAAUCACGCGUAGAGUAUAAAGGCAAAAGCGCGCUUAACUGCGAGACCCACAAGUCGAGCAGGUACGAAAGUAGGUCUUAGUGAUCCGGUGGUUCUGUAUGGAAGGGCCAUCGCUCAACGGAUAAAAGGUACUCUGGGGAUAACAGGCUGAUACCGCCCAAGAGUUCAUAUCGACGGCGGUGUUUGGCACCUCGAUGUCGGCUCAUCUCAUCCUGGGGCUGAAGCAGGUCCCAAGGGUAUGGCUGUUCGCCAUUUAAAGAGGUACGCGAGCUGGGUUUAGAACGUCGUGAGACAGUUCGGUCCCUAUCUACCGUGGGCGCUGGAAAUUUGAGAGGAUCUGCUCCUAGUACGAGAGGACCAGAGUGGACGAACCUCUGGUGUACCGGUUGUGACGCCAGUCGCAUCGCCGGGUAGCUAUGUUCGGAAGGGAUAACCGCUGAAAGCAUCUAAGCGGGAAGCCUACCUCAAGAUAAGAUUUCCCUAGGACUUUAUGUCCUCUAAAGAGCCGUUCGAGACUAGGACGUUGAUAGGUUGGAUGUGGAAGCAUAGUGAUAUGUGAAGCUGACCAAUACUAAUUGCUCGUGAGGCUUGACUAU